rnacentral:misc_RNA from 1 species
CUGACAAAAGCAAUACUCGUGUUGGCGCCGCCUCUGAGGCAACGGCUUCAGGCCGCAGCCGAUCCGAUGAGGCCGUUUAUGACGGCGAUCACUCCUCCGCGGUGGAGUGGUAAAGUCGAACACAUUCCACAGCCCUAUGNNNAAGCUUGUCUAUAACAGGCUUCUUCAUGCAACCAAAUGUGUCGGUGAAUCCGAUUCGCUCG